AUGUACUCCACCAUCGGACGGCGAACAUCUCCGCCAUCGGACGAGGGAAGCGGGGGAAGAACGGGAUCCCCAGCGCGGCGCCGGCGCGCACCUGGUCCAUCAGUAGUAUACUCGUUCAGUCAUCUUUGCUCAAUGUACGGGCGAGGAGUACCUGCCUGGAGUGUUGUUUGCGGCGAGGACCAGGCUGGGCAGCGCGGCGACCAAGCUGGCGUUGAGAGGACCAGGCUGGUGCGGCGAGGACCAAAUUGGGAGCGGCGGAGGCGGCGGCCAGGCUGGGGCGGCGGCGAUCAAAUUGGGAGCGGCGGCGACCAAACUGGGCAAGGACGACGGGGAAGAGACUGGCGAAGGGGCCUGCUGGUGGAUGGACUAGUAGCUGGAGGAGGUGGAGGGCGGAGGAGGUGGCUGGCCUGGCGGAGGAAGACGACGACUCUCAGCGACAACUCUCGUUUUCAAAUCAGGGGUAUUUUUGUACUUUUGUUCAUUUUCACCUUGUCGGAAAUUUCUCCCAGCUACAACUAUUUCGGUACAGAGGGAGUAAUUUGCAUGUUGGUUUGUGUGCUUCAGCAAUCACGAUACUACUUUGUGAUAUGA
rnacentral:rRNA from 1 species